UAGGGAAUCUUCCACAAUGGACGAAAGUCUGAUGGAGCAACGCCGCGUGAGUGAAGAAGGGUUUCGGCUCGUAGAACUCUGUUGUUAAAGAAGAACAUAUCUGAGAGUAACUGUUCAGGUAUUGACGGUAUUUAACCAGAAAGCCACGGCUAACUACGUGCCCG
rnacentral:rRNA from 1 species